rnacentral:rRNA from 1 species
GACAGAGGGUGCAAACGUUGUUCGGAAUUACUGGGCGUAAAGCGAGUGUAGGCGGUCUUGUAAGUCGGGUGUGAAAGCCCAGGGCUCAACCCUGGAAUUGCCUUCGAUACUGGAUAUCUUGAGUUCGGGAGAGGUGAGUGGAAUGCCGAGUGUAGAGGUGAAAUUCGUAGAUAUUCGGCGGAACACCAGUGGCGAAGGCGACUCACUGGCCCGAUACUGACGCUGAGGCGCGAAAGCGUGGGGAGCAAACAGG